CAGGUUCAAAGCUUGACCCUGGUUUUGCUUUUUAAGUGCUGAUGAUUUUUACAGUUUCCUCCUAUUCUUGUCUAUGCAGAUUAGAAAACUGAUUAUAUAAAAUACAGGAUCAAGUGAGAGGGAGGAGAAUGGAGAAAUAAAUACUCUAUUCAGAGUGUUUCUGGCUUUACUCAUUUGCUGCUUUGAAAACGUGUAUGUGAACAGUCUAGAGAUAGUCAUGGCAAAUCCAUAGGAGAUCAAUAAAGGUACAAAUUAAAUGCUUCUGGUUGUGCUUGACUAACUUGGAAACACAAAACCAACUCCCAAUCAUUAAUUCCUUGUCUAACUGUUUACAGCUUUUCUACUGAGAGCAAGGAGUUACUGGUAGAACACCAGAAACAACUGGAGGAGUCCCCAGGUUUGGAGCAGUCCCUUAGGGCUCAGGAUAACAUUUUCUUACCUCUGGAACCUACAAAUUCAGCUGGAAUGGAACCUAUAGCCACACUCAUUACAGUAGAAGACAAAAAGGGUGCAUUUCUGGAACCUGUGCUGGAGGAAAAGGCACUUCUUUCAAACCCAAACACUGAUCCUAAAGAUAAUGAAGAUAUUAAUCCAUAUGGCAGCAAGUACCCAGUGAAAGGCCUGGGGAUCCUUCCUACUUGGUGUAACUUAUGCCUGGUUCAGGCAGAAAAUACUCUUGAAGGAACAGGUCAAUCAUAUUUAAUGCUAUUAUGUCCAAUCUGUUUCAACCACUUCAAUCAAACUUUAAUCCAGACAGAAAGAGAGACAAUCUUCUCAUUUAUUACCAAAGUGUCU
rnacentral:lncRNA from 1 species